rnacentral:lncRNA from 1 species
CACAAUACAGGAACGAGGACCAGAUUACCUUCACCAGCGACUGUGACUUCAAUGGGCCAGGUGACUGAGGCACCCAUUGUUCCACAUGGGAAUCAGACAGAAUUCCAAGAGUCCGUCACCAUCCCGUGUAUUCCAUGUGAAAGCAAGAAUUGAAGAUAAGACAACUUUAGGAAACAUCAAUGAGGAGAACAAAAUAGAGUCUUGUCAAGUGUGACGAGAUUAUCAGUCAAUUGGAUGGAAAUCGUACUGCACUGUAGGAUUAGCAGCAUCAGACAAUGGGGGACUAGACUAUUCAGUGGUUGGUGACAUAUGAGGCAGAAUACCUGGGGCCCUGGGCUUCUCUCUUGGGGGAGCUCCCCUAUGGUGGUGCUUUAGGACCCACUAAGGAACAAAUUGCUGAAGGAAAUAUAAGUAGAGAUAUAGUAUUUUUCCGGAGAAAUAUUUUUGUUGGACCUCAAUCCACCAAGUUCCAGGCAGUUGAGCUGCUACAGUAAUUUCCUGGACACUCCAGAUCUUUGGAUAUUGACCACCUUUACAGGGAAAAAAAAAAGAAUGAUGUGUUCUGUAAACACCGAGCAAGGCAUAGAAAAUGUAAUGUCUUAAAUAAAACUGUUUCAGAUCUGC